GAAGUCAGCCCAGUUGCACGAAGCCGGCCCACGAGCACUUGAUGAGAGACUCGAUUGGCGUCGUUUUGGUCACUUUCUCUUUCACUAGAGAUUACUGUGAAUUUUCUGGGCAUAGACUACAGUGGGUUGUGUCGGUUUGAAGUGGUUUGAAGUUUUCGUGACUCUGUUAGGUGGUGUCACUACUAGAGUUCCAACUCAAGGUGCUGAUAAUACACGGAAGUCAGGUAAGCGGGGUUCAUAUACUAGUUUUGCAUAAAAGAAAUAAAAUGAGGUUGACUUUGAAAAUAUGCAUAUUUGUUUUUGAAAAGAAAUCUGAAA